UCCCAUAAAGGGCGAGGCAAAGGUGUCCCCUGGAAACAGAGGCCUUGAACAGCUGACCACUGCUGUGAUCCCAUGAAAGAAAACCAGGUUCUCCAGCUAUCCGGGCACAAUGAUUUCAGCAACAUGUCACACAACAGCACCUCAGUUCUGACAGAUCCCAAUGGCACACCGACAGGACCCCUGUCUGCGAUGAUCUCCAAAGUCUCCAUGCUGUGUGCCUGUUACUUCUACUACCACGGGCUAACAAUCUGCUGCCAGAGCUGUGGAGUGUGACAAUGGUGUUUGUGUCCAGUCUAUCAAACGCCAUUAUCACACUAAAUAGCUACUGGUAGAUGAGACUUCAAGUCAGAGAAGUACACGAAUUAUAGCAAUACAUUUAUCUGCUGUACUGAGGAAUAAAUAAGCUUUUUUCAUUUCAGGAAGACUCCUUUUAUAAGUGGACCCACAGUUGUAUGUGGGAAAAGCACACCCUGCCAUGUGCCUUUCCAGAUCCCUACUGCAGAACACACAAGAGUCACCUAAAGGAAUCACACUACCAGUGUUAGGCAUGUUGAUUUUAUGUUGGAGUCAAUGCAGCUGUGAUUACCUCUGGAAAACAAGGUUGGCCUGAGAUUUUCCUGUUGGAUUGACCGUAGCUCUAGAGCACUGAAGCCAAUUACCUGAUGAAGUCAAAGCCUGGAUCUUAUUUUUGCACCAAAGUAAAACACAUAUGUUUCAAACAAUAAUUGGCUGAGAUGAUUGUGAUUUUCAAACAAAACACCUUUCGAAAUUCUGAUAAAAAGCUUUUACAUCUAA